CUCCGCAAUGGACGAAAGUCUGACGGAGCAACGCCGCGUGAGUGAUGAAGGUUUCGGAUCGUAAAGCUUGUUGUUAGGGAAGAACAAGUGCGAGAGUAACUGCUCGCACCUUGACGGUACCUAACCAGAAAGCCACGGCUAACUACGUGCCAGCAGCCGCGGUAAUACGUAGGUGGCAAGCGUUGUCCGGAAUUAUUGGGCGUAAAGGGCUCGCAGGCGGUUUCUUAAGUCUGAUGUGAAAGCCCKCGGCUCAACCGGGGAGGGUCAUUGGAAACUGGGAAACUUGAGUGCAGAAGAGGAGAGUGGAAUUCCACGUGUAGCGGUGAAAUGCGUAGAGAUGUGGAGGAACACCAGUGGCGAAGGCGACUCUCUGGUCUGUAACUGACGCUGAGGAGCGAAAGCGUGGGGAGCGAACAGGAUUAGAUACCCUGGUAGUCCACGCCGUAAACGAUGAGUGCUAAGUGUUAGGGGGUUUCCGCCCCUUAGUGCUGCAGCUAACGCAUUAAGCACUCCGCCUGGGGAGUACGGUCGCAAGACUGAAACUCAAAGGAAUUGACGGGGGCCCGCACAAGCGGUGGAGCAUGUGGUUUAAUUCGAAGCAACGCGAAGAACCUUACCAGGUCUUGACAUCCUCUGACAACCCUAGAGAUAGGGCUUUCCCUUCGGGGACAGAGUGACAGGUGGUGCAUGGUUGUCGUCAGCUCGUGUCGUGAGAUGUUGGGUUAAGUCCCGCAACGAGCGCAACCCUUGAUCUUAGUUGCCAGCAUUUAGUUGGGCACUCUAAGGUGACUGCCGGUGACAAACCGGAGGAAGGUGGGGAUGACGUCAAAUCAUCAUGCCCCUUAUGACCUGGGCUACACACGUGCUACAAUGGACAGAACAAAGGGCUGCGAGACCGCAAGGUUUAGCCAAUCCCAUAAAUCUGUUCUCAGUUCGGAUCGCAGUCUGCAACUCGACUGCGUGAAGCUGGAAUCGCUAGUAAUCGCGGAUCAGCAUGCCGCGUWUGGAC
rnacentral:rRNA from 1 species